rnacentral:misc_RNA from 1 species
AACUCAGCCGCGGCGGACUC